GAACCAAUAUUCACCAAGGAGGUUUACAGUGCUACUGUCCCUGAAAUGUCUGAUGUCGGAACAUUUGUUGUCCAAGUCACUGCAACGGAUGCAGAUGAUCCAACAUAUGGGAACAGUGCUAAAGUUGUCUACAGUAUUCUACAGGGACAGCCCUAUUUUUCAGUUGAAUCAGAAACAGGUAUUAUCAAGACAGCUUUGCUCAACAUGGAUCGAGAAAACAGGGAGCAGUACCAAGUGGUGAUUCAAGCCAAGGAUAUGGGCGGCCAGAUGGGAGGAUUAUCUGGGACCACCACCGUGAACAUCACACUGACUGAUGUCAACGACAACCCUCCCCGAUUCCCCCAGAGUACAUACCAGUUUAGAACUCCUGAAUCUUCUCCACUGGGUACACCAAUUGGCAGAAUCAAAGCCAGCGAUGCUGAUGUGGGAGAAAAUGCUGAAAUUGAGUACAGCAUCACAGACGGUGAGGGGCUGGAUAUGUUCGAUGUCAUCACUGACCAGGAAACCCAGGAAGGGAUUAUAACUGUCAAAAAGGUAAUGCCGCUUCUUAAACACCAUACAAAGUGAACCCAUUUACUUUUCUCCAGUUCCUAAGUUACCAGGGACAAUUACAUCUCACAUAAACAUUCCUUUAGAUUUUUAUUUUACUUAUUAUUUUCAGAAAAAUGCCAAUUCUGG
rnacentral:sRNA from 1 species